rnacentral:rRNA from 1 species
GAUGAACGCUGGCGGCGUGCCUAAUACAUGCAAGUCGAGCGAACAGACGAGGAGCUUGCUCCUCUGCCGUUAGCGGCGGACGGGUGAGUAACACGUGGAUAACCUACCUAUAAGACUGGGAUAACUUCGGGAAACCGGAGCUAAUACCGGCUCAUAUAUUGAACCGCAUGGUUCAAUAGUGAAAGACGGUUUUGCUGUCACUUAUAGAUGGAUCCGCGCCGCAUUAGCUAGUUGGUAAGGUAACGGCUUACCAAGGCAACGAUGCGUAGCCGACCUGAGAGGGUGAUCGGCCACACUGGAACUGAGACACGGUCCAGACUCCUACGGGAGGCAGCAGUAGGGAAUCUUCCGCAAUGGGCGAAAGCCUGACGCAGCAACGCCGCGUGAGUGAUGAAGGUCUUCGGAUCGUAAAGCUCUGUUAUUAGGGAAGAACAAAUGUGUAAGUAACUAUGCACGUCUUGACGGUACCUAAUCAGAAAGCCACGGCUAACUACGUG